rnacentral:rRNA from 1 species
UUUUUUAGAAGAGAUGCAUUUAUUAGAUAAAAAAUCAAUACAUGCUUUUAAAGAGUGGGGGGUUGGUGAAUUACAGUAACUUAGCAAAUCGCAUAGUGAAAACAGGCGAUAAAUCAUUCAAGUUUCUGACCUAUCAGCUUUCGACGGUAUGGUAUUGGCUUACCGUGGCAGUGACGGUUAACGGGGGAUUAGGGUUCGAUUCCGGAGAGCGAGCCUGAGAUACGGCUACCACAUCUAAUGAAGGCAGCAGGCGCGCAAAUUACCCAAUUCUAACAGCAUAAGAGAGGUAGUGACAAGAAAUAACAAUACAAGGCAGUUAAAAUGCUUUGUAAUUGGAAUGAUAGAAAUUUAAACACUUUUUAAAGUAUCAAUUGGAGGGCAAGUCUGGUGCCAGCAGCCGCGGUAAUUCCAGCUCCAAUAGCGUAUAUUAAAAUUGUUGCAGUUAAAAAGCUCGUAGUUGAAUCUCUGCUAAAAAUAACCGGUCUGCUUUUAAUAAAGGUGGUAUCUUGGUGUGUUUUUAGCAAUACUGUCCUUUGAAAUAUUUUUUACUUCAUUGUAAUAAAUUAUGUUCAGGAUUUUUACUUUCAGAAAAUUAGAGUGUUUCUAGCAAGCUAAUGCUUUGAAUA